rnacentral:rRNA from 1 species
GGGAAUAUGGUCAAUGGCCUAACGGCUGAACCAGCAAUUUGGGGGAAUGUAUGAUGUAAAUCAAUAUUUGCAUACUAAGCUAUGCAUGUAUAUUGACUUUGUCAAAUAAAGUUCUAGAUAGAUAAUUGAUGAUGACAAACUUCUAUCUAUAUGUCUUGACCAAGUCUUGUGCCAGCAGUCGCGGCAAUACAAGGAAGACUAGUGUUAUUCAUCUUCAUUAGGUUUAAAGGGUACCUAGACGGUGUUUAUAGCCUCAAAAAGGUACACAUACACUAGAGUUUAAUGGGAGAGGUAGAUAUUAGGGCUAUUGGUGUAGAGAUGAAAUUUUUUGAUACUAAUGGAACGGAUAGCGGCGAAGACAACCCUCUAUGUAUAAACUGACGUUGAGGGACGAAGGCUUGGGGAGCAAACAGGAUUAGAUACCCCAGUAGUCCAGGCAGAAAAUUAUGAAUGUUAUAGACGAAAUAAAUAAAAAUUCGGUGUAUAAAUGAAAGUGUAAGCAUUCCACCUCAAGAGUAAUGUGGCAACGCAGGAACUGAAAUCAUUAGACCGUUUCUGAAACCAGUAGUGAAGUAUGUUAUUUAAUUCGAUGACCCUCGAUAAACCUUACCACAAUUUGAAUGGUAUAUAGGUAAUUGGCCUCUUAUAUAUGACAAGCGUUGCACGGCUGUCUUCAGUUAAUGUCGUGAGAUUUUGGUUAGAUCCAUUAAAUUAACGUAAACCCUCGCUCUAUUUAAUAUAUUCCUAUAUGCUGGUUGCACACCGCUAGUGACAGAUUUAUAUAAUGAGGCAGUUCACGCUAUAUUGGAUGCGAUAACAGGGACCAGACAAGUCAUCAUGGUCUUAUAUGUGGCUUA